rnacentral:rRNA from 1 species
GGCGGAGCAUGCGGAUUAAUUCGAUGCAACGCGAAGAACCUUACCAAGGCUUGACAUACACCAGAACACCCUGGAGACAGGGGACUCUUUUGGACACUGGUGUACAGGUGGUGCAUGGUUGUCGUCAGCUCGUGUCGUGAGAUGUUGGGUUAAGUCCCGCGAACGAGCGCAACCCUCGUCGCAUGUUGCCAGCACGUCAUGGUGGGAACUCAUGUGAGACUGCCGGGGUCAACUCGGAGGAAGUGGGAUGACGUCAAAUCAUCAUGCCCCUUAUGUCUUGGGCUUCACGCAUGCUACAAUGGCCGGUACAAAGGGCUGCGAUGUCGUAAGGCGGAGCGAAUCCCAAAAAGCCGGUCUCAGUUCGGAUUGAGGUCUGCAACUCGACCUCAUGAAGUCGGAGUCGCUAGUAAUCGCAGAUCAGCAACGCUGCGGUGAAUACGUUCCCGGGCCUU